rnacentral:rRNA from 1 species
GGACGAACGGCUGGCGGCGUAGCCUAACACGAUGCAAGUCGAGCGAGGAGAUCCUUCGGGAUGAUCCUAGCGGCGGACGGGUGAGUAACACGUGGGCAACCUGCCUCAUAGAGAGGAAUAGCCUUCCGAAAGGGAGAUUAAUACCUCAUAACAUUGCAGUUUCGCAUGGAACAGCAAUUAAAGGAGUAAUCCGCUAUGAGAUGGGCCCGCGGCGCAUUAGCUAGUUGGUGAGGUAACGGCUCACCAAGGCGACGAUGCGUAGCCGACCUGAGAGGGUGAUCGGCCACAUUGGGACUGAGACACGGCCCAGACUCCUACGGGAGGCAGCAGUGGGGAAUAGUUGCACAAUGGGGGAAACCCUGAUGCAAGCAACGCCGCGUGAGUGAUGACGGCCUUCGGGUUGUAAAGCUCUGUCUUCAGGGACGAUAAUGACGGUACCUGAGGAGGAAGCCACGGCUAACUACGUGCCAGCAGCGGC